CCGAGUGAGGGCCUCCGGGCCCGACCUCCAACCCUUUGUGAACACACCCGUUGCUUCGGGGGCGACCCUGCCGUUUCGACGGCGAGCGCCCCCGGAGGUCUUCCAACACUGCAUCUGCGGAGUACGAAUG
rnacentral:misc_RNA from 1 species